rnacentral:rRNA from 1 species
AUUGAACGCUGGCGGCAUGCCUUACACAUGCAAGUCGAACGGCAGCACGGGAGCAAUCCUGGUGGCGAGUGGCGAACGGGUGAGUAAUAUAUCGGAACGUGCCCAGUCGUGGGGGAUAACGUAGCGAAAGCUACGCUAAUACCGCAUACGAUCUACGGAUGAAAGCGGGGGAUCGCAAGACCUCGCGCGAUUGGAGCGGCCGAUAUCAGAUUAGCUAGUUGGUGGGGUAAAAGCUCACCAAGGCGACGAUCUGUAGCUGGUCUGAGAGGACGACCAGCCACACUGGAACUGAGACACGGUCCAGACUCCUACGGGAGGCAGCAGUGGGGAAUUUUGGACAAUGGGCGCAAGCCUGAUCCAGCAAUGCCGCGUGCGGGAAGAAGGCCUUCGGGUUGUAAACCGCUUUUGUCAGGGAAGAAAUCUUCUGGGUUAAUACCUCGGGAGGAUGACGGUACCUGAAGAAUAAGCACCGGCUAACUACGUG